UGAAGCCUGAACUUGGCAUGCCCCAGCAAGCCAGGAAGGAAGCAGGAAGAGUUCUUUGCAGCAGACUCUCUGCCCAGACCAUCCAACACAGCUUUUGCAAGCACCAGGGAGACAAUGAAGAUGGAGGAAAGCAGAUGGUGAGAACCCAGAGGAGCCUGCCAAUAACUCAAGGACCCAGUUCAGCCACUUACCCAAGUGCCUCAGCCUUUGUCUUGUGCAACACAAAUCACCAGAUUUUAUAUGAUCUGGGCAUGACAUAGAAACAGGAGAACAAUUUGUAUAAACUUCUAAGUAUGAUCUAAAACUGAACCCCAGCUUUCCAAUGGACUUGCAAUUCAGGCUGAAGCCUUGUGGACUUCCUUGCUAGGUAAAGUGUCCCUUUCCUCCCUCUGUCCCCAACUUGGCCCUUUCGCUAUAUA